rnacentral:tRNA from 1 species
AUUUAUAUAAUUCAAAUUAGAAUAUUGUAUUGAAGCUACAAAAGUGGUGUAAGGCCUGUAAAUA